rnacentral:lncRNA from 10 species
UGGGAUUACAGGUGUGAGCCACUGGGUCCAGCCUGAAGUAGACUUACUUUAAAUGAGGACAGAGAUGACUGGUGUGUGCAGUGACAGGCAGGAGAAUGUAACUUCCCAUGCUGGGGUGCUGGCAGCAAACUCACACGAUAACACUAACUUCCUAUUUGGAUUUGGAAACUGGUUCCUGUUUCUGAAUCCAUUACAGUCCUCAGAGGUUUUUGUCCAUGGUUUUGCAAAAUGAAGUCAGAAAAUGGAGCUGGAUGUAGAGAGAACAGGAAAACCCAUGUGGCUGGGUGAAAUAACUGAGAGUGGGUUAUUUAGGGAGUGACGUGGACAUGCCAAAGAAAAACAGCAGAGAACUGAGUCUAUCCACGGGAGAAGAGCAAAUCCUGCACGAUUCGGGGGAGUGAACAUUGAUCUAGGCGGAUAUGAAGAAACCAGGGAGUGGGUGGGUGAGAAUGGGAACUCCUUGUCAGGAAAAAAAUCAUUGGCAAUGAAGUAGAAUAUUCUGGUCCUAAAGUAAAUCGGCAAGCCCUUAGAAAUAUCUUUUUUUAUAAUGAGUUGGGGGGAAAAUCUUAAAUAUGUUUGGCAUGCUUAAAGAUAUGGUCCGAGAGUGUGGACACUUCUCUAUGUGACAGGCUCCUACACCAGUCGCUGUGCUCCUUGCUGGAAGAAUGUAGGGGAAGAGAAACCGUGGGUACCGCCCGCUGGCGCAGCCCCUGAGCUGGCGUCACUGCGUCUGGCCUGGGCAGGAAAGGUGAGGGAGCCAAGGGUUCCUGGAGUAUCACAACAUUAACCUCAAUUCAUAAUUCAGGGCCCGACUUAAAGUUCCAGACUGAGUGACUUCUGUGGUUCAAAAUAUAUGAGAGCACUGGGAUAUUUAAAAUUGAUUUUUUGGAAAUGGCCAAGUAAAUGUUUUUUAAAAUUUUACACAAAGAAAUUCCAACUUAGGUUCAGCCUAAAACAUAAUUUCAUGGGUGGUAAAAUACAAUUUCCCAACCAUGAAAUGGGAGUGCUGGAAUAGCCAGUUAGAGAUGUGAUUUUUCUUUACCAUUAGAUACCUCCUUUCCCUGGUAUUUAGAGGAAUUGUGAAGUGGUCCCCAUUUUGUGGAGUAUCAUUUUGGAAAAUGCUUUGAUGUGCUCGGGUUGGAGUGGAUGUCUGUCAGGUGUUAGGUAGGACGCAUUCGGUAUUUUUAUAGGUCAUCAGGAGUACCCUUUCCUUAGCAGGUGGAUUUUAUUUAGGUCAGAUAUAGUUAGUUUCUGUCCAGGAUAAGACAUCAUGGAGCCAGGGUCUUGUCAGGAAAGCAUCCUCUUAUGAACAGAAUCUAGAAACAGGCUACAUGAAUAUUGGGGUUGCCUGUUUAAUUUGGGCAGCCAGUGGGUACUCAGGGUCGAAAGUUGUUUCCAGUGUCUCCAAAUCAGCUUGGCUGUGGCCGUCAUGUGGACUGAUUCCCAGGUCUGUUUGAGGUUUAGGGUUGUGGAUGGGCUGCUCUUCUGAAUCUGGAUCAGUGUGUCUAGGUUGUGUUCAGGAGGGAAGCACAGCCGCAGCAGUCUGGACAAAUCAAGUGCUUUAACGAUGGCAUCGUCCUCUGGGAAUAAUCAGUCCUUAAUACAGUUUUCACUUGACAUAAUAGUUUUGGUAAACUGUCUUUAUCUGGCUGCACCCCCUUUUAAGUAAGCCCUUAAUUUUAAAUGGUCCCGGCGUGGUGUUCAGUAUCUGCAUAUGCCCCAGUUCUCAUUUAAGGGCAGUUCAAUGUAAUUGCUAAUUACCAGCCCUGUAUUUACUGAAAUGGCUGUCUGUCAUGCUUGCCAUUUUUAUGAAACACUUUAUUGCAGGUCAGCUAUUAUUGCACGUGCUACUUCAAGUCACUGGCUCAGGCUGGUGUCAUGUGUGGUUUGCUGCAAACGGCAGCCUGCUUUGCAGUGUGAGCUCUUCCUGGAAACAGCAGUCUCUUGUAGCUGAUGCCACAUCAGCUUUAAGUCAUUAGGAAGAUAUUCUAGGCCCCUUGUUGCUUCAGCCAUCAGUCUAUAAAUAACACAACACUAAUUUUCCAUCAAGUAACAGCUUAAAACAGAACACUGUCAAACCACUUUAUGUUCCACCCUUAAAUCACAUCACUGAGGAAACACUGUAAGAGAAUGCAGUUGACUCUUUCCCCCCCUUCUUUUUGAAUGAACCUCGUAAACCUAAUGCUUUAGAAAGAGCUCUCAGAAGACUGAGAAUGGUUUUUAGGAUAAUUUUGCCUCAGUAAAUCCUCUCUACAUUCAGGCAUUUAUUAGGCCAUUACUUGUUUUGGGACUACAGAUUAUCCUGGCAGCUCAAUAACUGGAUAAACAGGACUUUAGUGAAAGAUUUUCAGAGGUUCUUUAGGGAAAAGAAUGACCAGGAGAAGGUGGGUGGAAGCCUUCAGUUCUUUGACCUCUUGCACGUAGAAUCCUAAAACUGAUCAUGAUUUUAGCUAGGACUGACCUUUCCUAGCUUGUAGGGUCACUGUGAAUUUUGUUCAUGUCUUAAAAGGUUUAAGUUAACCUAGUUCACUGUUACCUACACAAGUAACAAGACGGCCAAUAGGACCUGUCAGCAUGACUUCGACAUGCAUUCCAGGCAUCUUUCGGGGAGUUUAGAUUUACUGUGUCAUUUCAGAACCCAACAAAGGUGAUGGAAGCUCUUAGGCCAGAUUAAAUUUCAUGGAACGGAGGCUGCAGAAGUCUGUGCUGCUUAGUGUGUCAGCUGACUUUUUACUGGGACAAGUCUAUGAAAGGCCCACCUGUAACAAGGCCCCUUUUUGCCCUGUGGAUAUUUUAAAAGAGGGAAUUUGGUGUUGACAAUCUUACUUACACGACUCUUGCUAAGCUAUUUGACUAAGGGUUUCAAUCAGAUGCUUCCCACCUCACAAGCAAGGGUCAGCUCUAUUUGCAAAUAAUCCAUGAAUAUGUUUGUCUAAAACCUGCUGAAGAGGCAUGGCAGCCACUUCCAUGCUGCUUUUGGUAAUGGGUAAAGAAUAUGGCCUUUCAGAUAGAUCUGGUGGCUUUUCCCCAAUAGUCACCAUGUGGAAACUAUGCAACUAAAUUCAAUGGAAAUGAAAGAUACAAUAUAAAAUAGCGGGUCAUGGCCAUAAGCUGUGUCCUGAACUAACCAACUCCAAGCUGAAGGAGGGUGUGUACUUUCCGAAACUUCGAGGCCAUCUUAGUAAUUAUUUUAGCAAUAAUUACUAAAAUGUACAUGGGGUGGGGGAGCUCAGCUAAAAUAUCCUUACUUUGGUGCAAUAAUGAUCUAGGUUCUUUUUCCUAGGCCUAGGCCUCCACCUUGAAAGACAGGAACAGAAGUUCACUGUGAUGUGUGACCCUGGACAGAGAUCAAACAGCUCCUUUCUAGACCCAGAUGACCCAGAACGCAGAAGCCUAGUAGUUGGUAUCACCAGUGUCUCUUCAAAAGGGCCCCACAAAAGGCUGUCCAUUAAUUUGUUUCAUACAGUAAGCGAGCUUUUACUGAAUACUCCCUCUGUUAGGUAGCAUGCAGAGUGCUAGGGCUGGCACAUUCCUGCCUUCCCACCAGAACCCUCCAACCUCCUCCCCAGGCAACAGAACACAGGGUUUGGGCCUGACCAGGCAGAGCUGGUUCAAGCCAGCCUGGGGCAGAGCCAGUUUUCCAGCACACUUCUAACUUCUAGUCAGAGCCUCAGCAUUAUACACCCAGCCUACAGGUGUGUGGAUUCCUGAGACAGAUGGCAAUGGCAUCACCUGUGGUGCCAACUCAUACAUUUUAAUGAGAUUUCUCCCUGAAGGGUGAACCAGUAGACCAGACUAAACGCACACUCAUGCAAGAAUGUAAAAUUGUAUUUCACUGAGGCCCCUUUAUAAGCAGAGCCAUCUUUGCGAAUUUCUUGGGGUGUUAAUGUAAACAUAUCUUUAGAAUAUCUCAUCGGGUUUCAGUCAGAGCCAUGCUUUGGGUUUUUCCUAGCAGCAGUGAUGAUAUCAACUUACAAGGUUUGGCUUUCAGGAUUUCAGAAGCUGGCAUUCAAGACAACAGGCAGUUUGUCAGAGCUGAAUGAGAAUCAGCCUGGACAAAUCAAGUGCUUUAACAAGGGCAUCUUCCUCUGGGAAUAAUCAGUCCUUAAUACAGUUUGCACUUGACAUAAUAGUUUUGGUAAAUGUCUUUUUCUGGCUGCACCCCCUUUUAAGUAAGCCUUUAAUUUUAAAUGGUCUGGAAAGAUCUUCGAUGCUUUCUGUAAGGUUUAGUCACCAAGAAGCCAGAACUUUUGGUGAAAACAGAAUUUAUAAAAUGAAACUGAACCUUCUCCUUUCUUACAAAAUAAAGAUCCUGUCAGACUCCAGUCUCAGACCACCUUUGCCCAUUUGUAAUUCAGACUUGCAGAGUGAGGAGAGAACUGCUUCAGCCUUACUGUCUUGUAGAGAGAUUUGGUGAAAAUCAUGUUACUUUAGACCCAGUAGUUUUCAGGACCGCAACAGGAUGCGGGGCACCUGGCUUCCCGGGUAAGGUCACAUAGUCUCUUAAAAUUCUGUCACUAAUUUUUUUAAACGACUUUUUUUAAAAAGCCACCUCCUCAUGCCUGUCCAAAAUGAACCACGCAACUGGUUACCUUUCUCUGCCUACCUUUUGGGCUGGGGAAGAGGGGCACCUUUCUCAUCACUCUCAGGGAAGUCCUGAGGAACUGUGCAAGCCAGGAAGCAUGAGUCGCUGAAUUGGUGAUGGAGGGGUGUCCACUUUUUUCUAGUUCCUCAGCUGCUUCUGGAGCAGUGUUCACAACGGGAAUGUUUUUACUGUCCUUGGUAGGCUACAGGUUCACAGCUUCAAAUCAAGGCCUCCAAGGAUUUUAUUCUCUUACAUCACAGUUUUGACAAGUAUGCUUUUAAAAAACAACAUUUGCAAAACUGGUCUUUAAGCGACGUGAGUCAGAGGUAACAAAGGCAUAUAUAUACCGAACAAAGGUGCUCCGGUGCAGUGGAGAGAACAGUAUUAGUGUCGCAAGCACAGGAGUGCAGACAGCCCCGCCUUCAUCGUGAUGCCUGCAGCACACCACGAUUAUCAUGAGAGGUCAAGAUUUUGAUUUACUAAUUUAUAAUCUUAUUUCCAAGCAAAACAAGUCAAUUUCAUGUUACAACUUUUUUCUUGUUUCUUUUUAUCUUGUUUGGCCUGAGGGUUGGGGGAUUUGGGGGAGUUGUCAGCUGCACAAUCUUUGAAGUGUAAGUUAAUUUUUAUGUGAUAUUUCAGUAUAUAUUUUAUUGAUUAAAUUUAUUGGAAAACUUAUUUUUUUAAUUCAUUUAUUCUCAGACUGUGCCUUCUGGGAUGGGGAGGGAGUUUAACAGGCAAUAUCACUUCUACUCAGUCGAUAGGUUGAUUAAUUCUAAUAAUAUCCUCCUUCCCCACCCUCUUGAGACCUCCUUAAACAAACAAAUGUGUUUAUACUGUGCCAGUUUAUUUGGUUGUAUUUUCAUCUUUGUUAACCUGUGUUUAGGUCUGAAAACAAUACAUCCAAAUUACAGUCUCUCUUG